GAUGAACGCUGGCGGCGUGCUUAACACAUGCAAGUCGAACGAGUGGCGAACGGGUGAGUAACACGCGGGUGAUCUGCCUCCUACUUCGGGAUAAGCCUGGGAAACUGGGUCUAAUACCGGAUAGUACGAGAUGAGCCGGCGGCCUAUCAGCUUGUUGGUGGGGUAAUGGCUACCAAGGCGCGACGGGUAGCCGGCCUGAGAGGGUGUACGGCCACAUGGGGACGGAGACACGGCCCAGACGCCUACGGGAGGCAGGAGUGGGGAAUAUUGCACAAUUGGAGGAAGCCUGAUGCAGCGAUGCCGCGUGGGGGAUGACGGCCUUCGGGUUGUAGACCUCUUUCGCUAGGGAAGCGGUACCUGGAUAAGAAGCACCGGCUAACUACGUGCCAGCCGCCGCGGUAAUAC
rnacentral:rRNA from 1 species